rnacentral:rRNA from 1 species
CAGUGGGGAAUAUUGCACAAUGGGCGCAAGCCUGAUGCAGCCAUGCCGCGUGUAUGAAGAAGGCCUUCGGGUUGUAAAGUACUUUCAGCAGUGAGGAAGGUGGAUAUGUUAAUAGCAUAUUCAUUUGACGUUAGCUGCAGAAGAAGCACCGGCUAACUCCGUGCCAGCAGCCGCAGUAAUACGGAGGGUGCGAGCGUUAAUCGGAAUUACUGGGCGUAAAGCGCAUGCAGGUGGUUUGUUAAGUCAGAUGUGAAAGCCCGGGGCUCAACCUCGGAAUUGCAUUUGAAACUGGCAAACUAGAGUACUGUAGAGGGGGUAGAAUUUCAGGUGUAGCGGUGAAAUGCGUAGAGAUCUGAAGGAAUACCGGUGGCGAAGGCGGCCCCCUGGACAGAUACUGACACUCAGAUGCGAAAGCGUGGGGAGCAAACAGGAUUAGAUACCCUGGUAA